AACGAACGCUGGCGGCGCGCCUAAUACAUGCAAGUCGAGCGAGAAGGUGUAGCAAUACACUUGUAAAGCGGCGAACGGGUGAGGAAUACAUGGGUAAUCUACCAUCGAGUGGGGAAUAACCAGCCGAAAGGUUGGCUAAUACCGCGUACGCUUCCGAGUCUUCGGGCUUGGAAGGAAAGCCGCACUGUGAGUGCGGCGCUCUUUGAUGAGCUCAUGUCCUAUCAGCUUGUUGGUAGGGUAACGGCCUACCAAGGCUUUGACGGGUAGCUGGUCUGAGAGGACGAUCAGCCACACUGGCACUGCGACACGGGCCAGACUCCUACGGGAGGCAGCAGUAAGGAAUAUUGCGCAAUGGGCGAAAGCCUGACGCAGCGACGCCGCGUGGGGGAUGAAGGUCUUCGAAUUGUAAACCCCUUUCGGGAGGGAAGAUGGAGCGAGCAAUCGUUCGGACGGUACCUCCAGAAGCAGCCACGGCCAACUUCGUGCCAGCA
rnacentral:rRNA from 1 species